UGUACUGGACUUGGAGUCAGAAGACUUGGGUUUGGGAACUGGGCAAGCCGCUUAUGGUUGUGGUUAAGCCCAGCACACAGUCUUUCUGACCUGG
rnacentral:miRNA from 1 species